CUCUAUGGCCAUACUACCCUGAACACACCCGAUCUCCUCUGAUCUCAGAAGCUAAGCAGGGUCGGGCCUGGUUAGUACUUGGAUGGGAGUAGGGUGGGGGCAGAGGGA
rnacentral:rRNA from 1 species